rnacentral:sRNA from 2 species
ACGUACUAUGUGUACGCUCCGGUUCCUCCGCGCUGUCCAUGGCAAAACUGCUUUCGCUCGCUACGCCUACUGAAGCACUUU